GUGUUCGAUUAAGCCAUGCGAGUUAAUGUUCUUCGUGAACAUAGCAGACUGCUCAGUAACACGUGGAUAACCUGCCCUUAGGACUGGCAUAACCCCGGGAAACUGGGGAUAAUUCCGGAUAGAUCAUAAAUGCUGGAAUGCUUUAUGAUUGAAAGGUUUCGACCGCCUUAGGAUGGAUCUGCGGCCUAUCAGGUUGUAGUGGGUGUAAUGUACCUACUAGCCUACGACGGGUACGGGUUGUGGAAGCAAGAGCCCGGAGAUGGAUUCUGAGACAUGAAUCCAGGCCCUACGGGGCGCAGCAGGCGCGAAAACUUUACAAUGCGGGAAACCGUGAUAAGGGAACACUGAGUGCUAGCAUUUAUGUUAGCUGUCCACAUGUGUAAAUAGCAUGUGAUAGCAAGGGCUGGGCAAGACCGGUGCCAGCCGCCGCGGUAACACCGGCAGCCCGAGUGGUGAUCACUAUUAUUGGGUCUAAAGGGUCCGUAGCCGGUUUAAUCAGUCUUCUGGGAAAUCUAAUCGCUUAACUAUUAGGCUUCCAGGGGAUACUGUUAGACUUGGGACCGGGAGAGGUAAGAGGUACUGCAGGGGUAGGAGUGAAAUCUUGUAAUCCCUGUGAGACCACCAGUGGCGAAGGCGCCUUACCAGAACGGGUCCGACGGUGAGGGACGAAAGCUGGGGGCACGAACCGGAUUAGAUACCCGGGUAGUCCCAGCUGUAAACGAUGCUCGUUAGGUGUCAGGAACGGUGCGACUGUUACUGGUGCCGAAGGGAAGCCGUGAAACGAGCCAACUG
rnacentral:rRNA from 1 species